UGUGAAACUAAAAAGUGCAAGACACGGGUUUAUUUUCUCAUGGCUUCUUAAAAAACUUUAAUGCAGAGGAAAUCUACCAAUAGAAAUGCGGUUUUUCUUACCACGUAAAAAAAGAAAAAAGCUCCGAACUUCAGGGCACUAUCAGUUCUGCAAGAGCUCGGUAAAGAGGACGGUACCAUAAGACGUAAGCUCCAGGUACCCCAGCAAUGAAGUAGAUGAUUGAGAGAAGCCAUAUAGUGGGACCUGAUUACAAAACAAAGCACAUCAGAUGAAUCAACAUGGUCAGAGGAAAUACCAUCAUGAAUCUGAUCGUUUGGGUAAAAACGCGGUCUAAGGCGGUUUACAUACCUAACAAUGUGGUGAAUGCGACGUAUUGGAUCUUCUGUAAAUGAAUUGGAAUCUCAUUUGGAAUGUCAUGAUGAAUUAUAGG